rnacentral:tRNA from 1 species
GGCAGGGUAGCUUAGUUGGUUAAAGCACAGGAUUCAUAAACCUGAGAGCGUGGGUUCGAGUCCCACCCCUGCUA